UUCGUAGGCGGUGUGGCAAGUUGGGAGUGAAAUCUCUGGGCUUAACCCAGAGGCUGCUUCCAAAAACUGCUGUGCUCGAGUGUGGGAGAGGCGCGUGGAAUUGCAGGUGUAGCGGUGAAAUGCGUAGAUAUCUGCAGGAACACCCGUGGCGAAAGCGGCGCGCUGGACCACAACUGACGCUGAGGAACGAAAGCUAGGGGAGCAAACAGGAUUAGAUACCCUGGUAGUCCUAGCCCUAAACGAUCAGGACUUGGGGUGCCGCCCGUUCGGGCGUCGUCCCGGAGCUAAUGCGUUAAGUCCUGCACCUGGGGAGUACGGUCGCAAGACUGAA
rnacentral:rRNA from 1 species